UUUACUCCUACUGACUGAUAAACGUGGGAAAUUAGCUUCAAUUCUGGAUGAGGACAAGACCCCUUUGCUUCUUGAGAUUUUUUUUUUUAAAUAUUUCUUGUUUAAAAGAUAGUUUGAAAGUGUCUUACUUCUUAGACAGUAGUUUUCAUAAUGGAAAGUGACUCAAAAUGAAGACGUCUCUGUUCAAACCCUCUUUUUUUUUUUUUUUUUUUUAAAGUCUUACCCAAAAGGAAGUGAGUAUGAAGUAAAUUGCAUAAACUUAAAGUACUGCAGAGAUGAAACCCAAAGCAGGAAGAGACGUGCCACCCAUGUCCUGGACAGGAACACACCGUGUCAUGUGAAGAGACAUGACAAAAACAGCCCUCUUUAAAUUACUUUUGGCAAUAGUGAUCGCGUUCAUUUUACUUUUGCCCGAAUAUUUUAAGACACCGAAGGGAAAUGUAUUGGAGCUCUCAUGUCUGGAAGUAUGUUUACAGCCUAGUUUCAACUAUUCACUCCGCUCUUUGAAUUUUUCUUUUGUGACUUUUCUGAAACCAGUAAGAGAAACUCAGACUAUUAUGGGACUCUUUCUAAAUCAUUCCAACUUUCAAAACUUCACCAGGAUUUGCCAAACCUUCACAAGUGAAUUUAAAAUGUGCUCAUGUUUGGCUUGUGAGUCCAAAAAAAACAUGGAUUUUAUUUUUCAGGAACAAACAUCAAAAGUUCUUAUCAUGAAAGGAUCAACGGAAGUGAAGGCAAAUGAUGUUCGUUCACCUUGUCGACAUUUUAACUUCUCUGUAGCUCCUACAGUUGAUCCCUUGGAUGAGUAUAACAUGACUUAUAAUCUAAAGACCCGCGCGAGAAGGCCAGCAAUCAUUGAGGAAGAUCCGCUCAGGGAAAAGUCUAUGAACCAUACUUGUAGGACUAUGGAAUUCCUGAAUAAUUGUACACACAUUUCUCUGCACCUUGAAAUGGAUGUCAAAAAUUUCACUUGUUCCAUGAAGAUCACUUGGUAUGUUUUAGUUCUAGUUGUUUUCAUAUUUUUUCUCAUCCUCACUCUCCACAAAAUACUUGAAAGCCAGAGAAGAAUGUGGAAAUGGCAGAGUCAUAAAUACAAACCUACUUCUGCUCUCCUAAGAGGACAGGAUUCCGAGAAACUGCGGACCUUGAACGUGCGGGUUAUUUCAGAGACCAAGCAGAGGCUGCCCUUGACUCAGGUCAAGAAAGGACUUCCUCCAAUACCGGAACUAGAAGUUUCUUCCGCGGUGCAGCCGCAAGAUCGGUAUACACGCAGGUGCCCCUGAGAUGUCAGCUCAUCCCUUGGCUGCUUCCUGGGCUUGGACUGUACAUGAUGCCAGCAGGCCAAUCAUUGUUUCACUCUGAACAGGAGAGAAGAGAGAAUGUGAAUUUAUAAGCACAACCACUGACUCUCAAAAUAUCCUUCUGAAUUUUUCCGGACCACUUGGACUGAACCCUUUUGAAGAAUACUCAUAAUUUCAUUUUGGGAAUGAGUGAACUAGUAAAUAUAUGGGUCCAGCUGAGGAUUCACAGUAGGAAACAGUAACAGUGCUGACUGGUUGAUGGAAACUGGCUUGAGAGCAGUCAUUUGACCCAAGAGAUCAAAGAAACAAGAAUUUUUCCAGGAAGCCAUCAUGAGUCAUGGAAAACAAGCUGAUAAAACCCAUGGAAACAGCACGGGCAUGCUCACUGUCCUUGCUUAUCUGCUAAUUAUACAGCUGACAGUGACCCCAAAAUUUUGAUUUUGAAAGGAACCAAACCCAGGAUCAAGGAUGAAAAUCUUUUCUCUCAUUUGCCCACAUUGCACAUUCUGCCUUGAUGGGUUUUCUUAUACAGAUGGAUUGUUUCUUUUUGGCAAAUUACUUAAGAGGGCCUGGAUUGUUCAUUGAUACAUUUGUUCGGAUUUAUAAAUUCUGCUUCCUUUUGGCACUGAAGAUGUUUUUAAAAACUUCAAAGAUACCAAAAUAAAAUGAAUUUAAAUGAAA